GCGAACGCUGGCGGCGUGGAUAAGGCAUGCAAGUCGAGCGAACCCGCAGGGUUAGGCGGCAACGGUAGAGUAACGCGUGGGUAACCGUGCCCCGAACGAGUGGGACAACUCGGCGAAAGCCGGGCUAAUACCACAUAUGCUCGCAGCACUGCAUGGUGCAGCGAGGAAAGGUGGCGCGGCCGCAAGGCUGCUACCGUUUCGGGAGGGACCUGCGUCCCAUCAGCUAGUUGGUAGGGUCACGGCCUACCAAGGCGUAUGACGGGUAGCUGGCCUGAGAGGGUGGUCAGCCACACUGGGACUGAGACACUGCCCAGACUCCUACGGGAGGCUGCAGUCGAGAAUCUUUGGCAAUGGGCGAAAGCCUGACCAUGCGACGCCGCGUGCGGGAUGAAGGCUCUCGGGUCGUAAACCGCUGUUAUGAGGGACGAACGCUGUGGUCGCGAACAGUGGCCGCAGC
rnacentral:rRNA from 1 species